AUGGUCUGUGACUCCCGAGGGUGGGUGAAGCCCCUCCUGCCUGAAUGCCCUGUAAUCGGGAGGCGAUCAAUACACAAAUGGAACCCAGGCUCGCCGUCUUUGGGAACGACACCAAGGAUGCCAGGAUCCAGGGUCAGGCGUCGCACAGCCGGUUCACUUGUGCCACGAAUGUUUCUUGCGCAUUGGAUCCAUGUCAGUUUCUGGCUUGCCUGCCCGCCAGGUCUGGAGGCACGGUGGCGACCGUGUCCGCCUGGUGGCGAUGCGCAGGUGGGCCAAGUGGAGCCCGCAGCGGGGAGGCAGAGGUGGUCAGUGUGGCCGGCGUGGCUGGGGAGGGAGGAGGCGGAGGCCUGUUCAGUCUGCUUGCUCCUUGGUGAUGGGGCCCUUCCCAGCCACAGGCCAGCGUCUCUGCUCUGGCCCUUGGUGAGCCUCCACCUAACGCUGCGACCUUGAGUGGAGCACUUCACCUUCCUGUGGAACCCAGCCUGUGCCCUUGUUGGGUGAGGGCACAGGAAGAUGGUGGCGUGGCUGCAUGUGUUCCGAGCACAUGGGCUGGAGCUGAGACACCAAGCAGAGGUGUGUACGUGGCAGGUGGGAGGGGUCGGUAUCGACAAAGUACCAGGGAGGCCAAGGCAGAGGAACCCAUGCAGAAGGGGCUUCCUGCUGCUUGUCCCCCUGCCACCCACACACACAUACACACACAUACACACACAGUGUGGCAGCCUCCUUGUCUAGAAAACACAUCCAUCUCUGCUCUGCUGGCAGCCACCACUGAUGGCAGCUGCUAGGGACCCCCCUACCUGGGGUUGCAGAGAAUGGGUCCCCCACCCCGUGUUUCCAGCUUGUGUCUCUGACCGGCUUCCCCUCUGUGUCCCAAGCUGGUCAUUGGCUAAAGUGGAGUCAGGGUCAUCACCAGCCCUGAGGCACUGUCACAGCCCAGCGCUGGCCCAGGUGUGUCCACGGUGGGUGAGCAGUGAGAGCUUGGUGCAUCUUCACAAGAAUCACCACCCUGAAAGUCUCCCCUAAGCCUAGGGGCAGGUGUUCAUUUUCAGGGGGGACAGGAGGCCCAGAGAGGUGAUGGCCUUGCCUGAGGCUCCUCAACCUCAUGUCCUCUCUCCCCACACCUGUCCCUGUCCUCACUUACCCCUCAUGAGGAAGUAGCUCUGGGAAGGAAGGCGGCUGCCGCUUGAGUUCAGCCCGAUGGCAGCAGGCAUGUGGAAGGUGGCUGGGCUGGGGCUGGAGCCAGU
rnacentral:lncRNA from 1 species